CAGCCGCCACGGGAAUACGUAGGUGGCAAGCGUUGUCCGGAAUUAUUGGGCGUAAAGGGCUCGCAGGCGGUUUCUUAAGUCUGAUGUGAAAGCCCCCGGCCCAACCGGGGAGGGUCAUUGGAAACUGGGAAGCUUGAGUGCAGAAGAGGAGAGUGGAAUUCCACGUGUAGCGGUGAAAUGCGUAGAGAUGUGGAGGAACACCAGUGGCGAAGGCGACUCUCUGGUCUGUAACUGACGCUGAGGAGCGAAAGCGUGGGGAGCGAACAGGAUUAGAUACCCCAGUAGUCCCUGUCUCUUAUAC
rnacentral:rRNA from 1 species